rnacentral:rRNA from 1 species
CCUACGGGAGGCAGCAGUGGGGAAUAUUGGACAAUGGGGGGAACCCUGAUCCAGCCAUGCCGCGUGUGUGAAGAAGGCCCUCGCGUUGUAAAGCACUUUCAGUGAGGAAGAACGCCUGGUGGUUAAUACCCAUCAGGAAAGACAUCACUCACAGAAGAAGCACCGGCUAACUCCGUGCCAGCAGCCGCGGUAAUACGGAGGGUGCGAGCGUUAAUCGGAAUUACUGGGCGUAAAGCGCGCGUAGGUGGCUUGAUAAGCCGGUUGUGAAAGCCCCGGGCUCAACCUGGGAACGGCAUCCGGAACUGGCAAGCUAGAGUGCAGGAGAGGAAGGUAGAAUUCCCGGUGUAGCGGUGAAAUGCGUAGAGAUCGGGAGGAAUACCAGUGGCGAAGGCGGCCUUCUGGACUGACACUGACACUGAGGUGCGAAAGCGUGGGUAGCAAACAGGAUUAGAUACCCCAGUAGUC